GUCCCCUUCGUCUAGAGGCCUAGGACAUCACCCUUUCACGGUGGGAACAGGGGUUCGAAUCCCCUAGGGGACG
rnacentral:tRNA from 1 species